AUUGAACGCUGGCGGCAGGCCUAACACAUGCAAGUCGAGCGGAUGAAGGGAGCUUGCUCCUGGAUUCAGCGGCGGACGGGUGAGUAAUGCCUAGGAAUCUGCCUGGUAGUGGGGGAUAACGUCCGGAAACGGGCGCUAAUACCGCAUACGUCCUGAGGGAGAAAGUGGGGGAUCUUCGGACCUCACGCUAUCAGAUGAGCCUAGGUCGGAUUAGCUAGUUGGUGGGGUAAAGGCCUACCAAGGCGACGAUCCGUAACUGGUCUGAGAGGAUGAUCAGUCACACUGGAACCGAGACACGGUCCAGACUCCUACGGGAGGCAGCAGUGGGGAAUAUUGGACAAUGGGCGAAAGCCUGAUCCAGCCAUGCCGCGUGUGUGAAGAAGGUCUUCGGAUUGUAAAGCACUUUAAGUUGGGAGGAAGGGCAGUAAGUUAAUACCUUGCUGUUUUGACGUUACCGACAGAAUAAGCACCGGCUAACUUCGUG
rnacentral:rRNA from 1 species